UCAAGCGUUGUUCGGAUUCAUUGGGCGUAAAGGGUGCGUAGGCGGCGCGGUAAGUCGGGUGUGAAAGUCGGGGGCUCAACCCUCGGAUGCCGGUGGAUACUGUCGGGCUUGAGUACGGAAGAGGCGAGUGGAAUUCCUGGUGUAGCGGUGAAAUGCGCAGAUAUCAGGAGGAACACCAAUUGCGAAGGCAGCUCGCUGGGACGUUACUGACGCUGAGACGCGAAAGCGUGGGGAGCAAACAGG
rnacentral:rRNA from 1 species